AGCUUAUUUUGCGCAGGCGGAACUCGACCGCCCACUGAAGCGAUGAUCGCCUUCAUAGAAGAUCAGCGCGUUGUUUACGGCGUCGAGUCGAUCUGCAGGGUCCUGCCGAUCGCGCCG
rfam:Roseovarius azorensis strain DSM 100674 genome assembly, contig: Ga0131273_140